AUUGAACGCUGGCGGCAGGCUUAACACAUGCAAGUCGAACGAGUGGCGGACGGGUGAGUAUUGUCUGGGAAACUGCCUGAUGGAUGGGGAUAACUACUGGAAACGGUAGCUAAUACCGCAUACCAUCGGAUGUGCCCAGAUGGGAUUAGCUAGUAGGUGGGGUAAAGGCUCACCUAGGCGACGAUCCCUAGCUGGUCUGACAGGAUGACCAGCCACACUGGAACGGAGACACGGUCCGGACUCAUGCGGGAAGCAGCAGUGGGGAAUAUUGCACAAUGGGCGCAAGCCUGAUGCAGCCAUGCCGCGUGUAUGAAGAAGGCCUUCGGGUUGUAAAGUACUUUCAGCGGGGAGGCGUUACCCGAAGAAGAAGCACCGGCUAACUCCGUGCCAGCAGCCGCGGUAAUUC
rnacentral:rRNA from 1 species